rnacentral:rRNA from 1 species
GACGAACGCUGGCGGCGUGCUUAACACAUGCAAGUCGAACGGAAAGGCCCUGCUUGCAGGGUGCUCGAGUGGCGAACGGGUGAGUAACACGUGGGUGAUCUGCCCCUUACUUUGGGAUAAGCCUGGGAAACUGGGUCUAAUACUGGAUAGGACCAUGCUGUAGGUGGUGUGGUGGAAAGAUUAGUUUCGGUAAGGGAUGAGCUCGCGGCCUAUCAGCUUGUUGGUGGGGUAAUGGCCUACCAAGGCGUCGACGGGUAGCCGGCCUGAGAGGGUGGACGGCCACAUUGGGACUGAGAUACGGCCCAGACUCCUACGGGAGGCAGCAGUGGGGAAUAUUGCACAAUGGGCGCUAGCCUGAUGCAGCGACGCCGCGUGGGGGAUGACGGCCUUCGGGUUGUAAACUCCUUUCAGCCAUGACGAAGCCCUUGUGGUGACGGUAGUGGUAGAAGAAACACCGGCGAACUACGU